AGAGUUUGAUCAUGGCUCAGGAUGAACGCUAGCGGCAGGCUUAAUACAUGCAAGUCGUGGGGCAGCAUGGGGUAGCAAUACUCUGAUGGCGACCGGCAAACGGGUGCGGAACACGUACGCAACCUUCCUUUAACUGGAGAAUAGCCCCUCGAAAGAGGGAUUAGUACUCCGUAACAUGAUGAUAAGGCAUCUUAUUAUUAUUAUAGCUCCGGCGGUUAGAGAUGGGCGUGCGCCUGAUUAGGUAGUUGGCGGGGUAAUGGCCCACCAAGCCUGCGAUCAGUAACUGGUGUGAGAGCACGACCAGUCACACGGGCACUGAGACACGGGCCCGACUCCUACGGGAGGCAGCAGUAAGGAAUAUUGGUCAAUGGACGCAAGUCUGAACCAGCCAUGCCGCGUGGAGGAUUAAGGCCCUCUGGGUUGUAAACUCCUUUUAUCUGGGAAGAAAUCCAUAUAUUCUUAUGUGGUUGACGGUACCAGAGGAAUAAGCACCGGCUAACUCCGUGCCAGCAGCCGCGGUAAUACGGAGGGUGCAAACGUUAUCCGGAUUCACUGGGUUUAAAGGGUGCGUAGGCGGGUAAGUAAGUCCGUGGUGAAAUCUCUGAGCUUAACUCAGAAACUGCCGUGGAUACUAUUUGCCUUGAAUAUUGUGGAGGUGAGCGGAAUAUGUCAUGUAGCGGUGAAAUGCUUAGAUAUGACAUAGAACACCAAUUGCGAAGGCAGCUCACUACACAAUCAUUGACGCUGAGGCACGAAAGCGUGGGGAUCAAACAGGAUUAGAUACCCUAGUAGUCC
rnacentral:rRNA from 1 species